rnacentral:pre_miRNA from 1 species
AUCUGUAUUCUUGAGCUUGUGGUUGUUUAAUUUAAACUAGAAGCUCGAGCAUACAGGUUC